rnacentral:misc_RNA from 1 species
GAUGAAGAACGCAGCGAAAUGCGAUAAGUAAUGUGAAUUGCAGAAUUCAGUGAAUCAUCGAAUCUUUGAACGCACAUUGCGCCCCCUGGUAUUCCGGGGGGCAUGCCUGUUCGAGCGUCAUUUCACCACUCAAGCCUCGCUUGGUAUUGGGCAACGCGGUCCGCCGCGUGCCUCAAAUCGUCCGGCUGGGUCUUCUGUCCCCUAAGCGUUGUGGAAACUAUUCGCUAAAGGGUGUUCGGGAGGCUACGCCGUAAAACAACCCCAUUUCUAAGGUUGACCUCGGAUCGGGUAGGGAUACCCGCUGAACUUAAGCAUAUCAAUAAGCGGAGGA